rnacentral:rRNA from 1 species
GAUGAACGCUGGCGGCGUGCCUAAUACAUGCAAGUCGAGCGAACAGACGAGGAGCUUGCUCCUCUGACGUUAGCGGCGGACGGGUGAGUAACACGUGGAUAACCUACCUAUAAGACUGGGAUAACUUCGGGAAACCGGAGCUAAUACCGGAUAAUAUAUUGAACCGCAUGGUUCAAUAGUGAAAGACGGUUUUGCUGUCACUUAUAGAUGGAUCCGCGCCGCAUUAGAUAGUUGGUAAGGUAACGGCUUACCAAGGCGACGAUGCGUAGCCGACCUGAGAGGGUGAUCGGCCACACUGGAACUGAGACACGGUCCAGACUCCUACGGGAGGCAGCAGUAGGGAAUCUUCCGCAAUGGGCGAAAGCCUGACGGAGCAACGCCGCGUGAGUGAUGAAGGUCUUCGGAUCGUAAAACUCUGUUAUUAGGGAAGAACAAAUGUGUAAGUAACUAUGCACGUCUUGACGGUACCUAAUCAGAAAGCCACGGCUAACUACGUG